UACGGGGGGGGCAAGCGUUGUUCGGAAUUACUGGGCGUAAAGGGCUCGUAGGCGGCCAACUAAGUCAUACGUGAAAUCCCUCGGCUUAACCGGGGAACUGCGUCUGAUACUGGAUGGCUUGAGUUCGGGAGAGGGAUGCGGAAUUCCAGGUGUAGCGGUGAAAUGCGUAGAUAUCUGGAGGAACACCGGUGGCGAAGGCGGCAUCCUGGACCAAUACUGACGCUGAGGAGCGAAAGCCAGGGGAGCAAACGGG
rnacentral:rRNA from 1 species